CCGUGCCGUGGGCAACUUUGUCGCUUGCUUUGUGUCUUGCAAGGAAUGCAAUGCUUUUCACUUCUCAUGGCGGCAUCCAGCCUUGCCUGCAUUCCAGCGCGGCGCGCCGACGCUGUCGCUUGCUGAACGUGUCAGAACAUGUUCAAGCCGAUCCGAUCUGCACUACAUGUCUCUCUGACUCUCCCAUCACGCUAGUUGCUAUAAGGAGAGUAAAACCAUUUUACUCUCCUUAAGUUGCUAGCUCGCUUCUCUCUCUCAUCAAGAUCAAAAUCUCUUUUGUUGCUGUCUGAUUUUCCGGCUUUCGUGAAAUCCAAACCUUUUAAAAUUUCAUCUUAUUCAGUCGGAGUUCAGCGCAUUUUGCGACAGCCAUGACUUAUCUCAGGCGAUUUAAAAAAAAUGAUAAAAUAUUAUCGUAUUUACGCACUAAAUUUUUGAUUUCACUGAUUUGCGAGAAUUAAUCCAACUGUUCACCACUGAGCUAAAAGAAGAUCACCUUGAAUAGGUGUGAUCGAAACCCUGGACAUGAUCGCCCAGAUCAGCAGAUCAGGUUCAAGCAGGGAGCACCGCAAAGAAGGAAGAAAAGGAACAGAAGUUUGAGUGUAGCAGUGACGGUGACGACACACACACAAGAAGAAACACACAGGCUGAGCUAUUUUUGUUACUUUAUUUUUAUACUAAGAAGUUAUUGAUUAUUAAUUUUUUCACUUGACUUUUUGACUCAAAACUUACCUUGUGGCGAGUUUUGAUGUCAGCGUCCCAGGUUCACAUAUAAUACUUAGAGUUUUGAUUCAUAAUUUUUUUUUGCAAUUGACUCAAACCUUACCUUGCGGCGAGGUUUGAUGUCUGCGUCCUCUCUUAUAUACAUGUCUAUCAUUUACUUCUGAAAAAUAAUUUAGUGCCCAAAUCGACUCAAAGCUUUCCUUGCGGCUAGUUUUGAUGUCAGCGUCCUUUUAUACGCUUGCCUAUUAUUUACUUCUGAAAAAUAAUUUACUAUCCAAAUUGACUCAAACCUUACCUUGCGGCGAGGUGUGAUGUCAGCGUUCUCUUAUAUACAUGUCUAUCAUUUACUUCUGAAAAAUAAUUUAGUGCCCAAAUCGACUCAAAGCUUUCCUUGCGGCUAGUUUUGAUGUCAGCGUCCUUUUAUACGCUUGCCUAUUAUUUACUUCUGAAAAAUAAUUUACUAUCCAAAUUGACUCAAACCUUACCUUGCGGCGAGGUGUGAUGUCAGCGUUCUCUUAUAUACAUGUCUAUCAUUUACUUCUGAAAAAUAAUUUAGUGCCCAAAUCGACUCAAAGCUUUCCUUGCGGCGAGUUUUGAUGUCAGCGUCUUUUUAUACGCUUGCCUAUUAUUUACUUCUGAAAAAUAAUUUACUAUCCAAAUUGACUCAAACCUUACCUUGCGGCGAGGUGUGAUGUCAGCGUUCUCUUAUAUACAUGUCUAUCAUUUACUUCUGAAAAAUAAUUUAGUGCCCAAAUCGACUCAAAGCUUUCCUUGCGGCGAGUUUUGAUGUCAGCGUCCUUUUAUACGCUUGCCUAUUAUUUACUUCUGAAAAAUAAUUUACUAUCCAAAUUGACUCAAACCUUACCUUGCGGCGAGGUGUGAUGUCAGCGUUCUCUUAUAUACAUGUCUAUUAUUUACUUAUGAAAAAUAAUUUAGUGCCCAAAUCGACUCAAAGCUUUUCUUGCGGCGAGUUUUGAUGUCAGCGUCCUUUUAUACGCUUGCCUAUUAUUUACUUCUGAAAAAUAAUUUACUAUCCAAAUUGACUCAAACCUUACCUUGCGGCGAGGUGUGAUGUCAGCGUUCUCUUAUAUACAUGUCUAUUAUUUACUUCUGAAAAAUAAUUUAGUGCCCAAAUCGACUCAAAGCUUUCCUUGCGGCGAGUUUUGAUGUCAGCGUCCUUUUAUACGCUUGCCUAUUAUUUACUUCUGAAAAAUAAUUUACUAUCCAAAUUGACUCAAACCUUACCUUGCGGUGAGGUUUGAUGUCAGCGUCCUUUUAUAUGCAUGCCUAUUAAAUACAUUUGAAAUAUAAAUUAUGAUCCAAAAUUGAAAAACUAUGAAAGGAUAUCAGAUCUAACAAAUUUUUUGCAGGAUUGUUUCAAAUAUUAACGAAUAACGGUUGAUAAUUCAUCUUCUGAAGAUAAAUCAGUGCAAUUUUGCAGCUUACAAAACCAGCUCUGGGGUCUCUAAUAAGAUUUGUUUAAGUUUUUGGAUUUUAUGAAAUGUAAAUGUUGGUCCAACGGCGCUGCACCUGUCAAGGGAGCUUGUGCUGAAAAUUCCUAGUUAAUUUUAAUCGAGAUAUUUUUGGGAUUUUAUUGAAAGGUAAAAAUGUAAUGAAUUUGAUAAAAUGUAAAUGUGGGUUUAACGGCGCUGCAUCUGUCAAGGGAGCUUGUGCUGAAAAAUCCUAGCUUUUUUGAAUCGAGAAAUGUUCUGGAUUUUAUAAAAUGUAAAUGUGGGUUACACGGCGCUGCACCUGUCAAGGGAGCUUGUGCUGAAAAAUCCUAGUUAAUUUUAAUCGAGAAAUUUUUGGAAUUUUAUUGAAUGGUAAAAAUGUUAUGAAUUUGAUAAAAUGUAAAUGUGGGUUUAACGGCGCUGCACCUGUCAAGGGAGCUUCUGCUGAAAAAUCCUAGUUAAUUUUAAUCGAGAAAUUUUUGGAAUUUUAUUGAAUGGUAAAAAUGUUAUGAAUUUGAUAAAAUGUAAAUUUGGGUUUAACGGCGCUGCACCUGUCAAGGGAGCUUGUGCUGAAAAAUCCUAGUUAAUUUUAAUCGAGAAAUUUUUGGAAUUUUAUUGAAUGGUAAAAAUGUUAUGAAUUUGAUAAAAUGUAAAUGUGGGUUUAACGGCGCUGCACCUGUCAAGGGAGCUUGUGCUGAAAAAUCCUAGUUAAUUUUAAUCGAGAAAUUUUUGGAAUUUUAUUGAAUGGUAAAAAUGUUAUGAAUGUGAUAAAAUGUAAAUGUGGGUUUAACGGCGCUGCACCUGUCAAGGGAGCUUGUGCUGAAAAAUCCCAGCUUUUUUGAAUCGAGAAAUGUUCUGGAUUUUAUAAAAUGUAAAUGUGGGUUCAACGGCGCUGCACCUGUCAAAGGAGCUUGUGCUGAAAAAUCCUAGUAAUUUUGAAAUGAUAAAUAUUUGGGAUUUUAUUGAAAGGUAAAAAUGUUAUGAAUUUGAUAAAUCAGUGCAAUUUUUCAGCUUACAAAACCAGCUCUGGGGUCUCGAAGGAAAAUAAGAUUUGUUUAAGUUUUUUCUUUUGGGCAGAGCAUUGAUGAUGGGAAAGAGUGAGUCCUGCAAAGGAGCCAACUGUUCACCCCAGAGCCGAAAAGAAGAUCACCUUGAAUAGGUGUGAUCGAAACCCUGGACAUGAUCGCCCAGAUCAGCAGAUCAGGUUCAAGCAGGGAGCACCGCAAAGAAGGAAGAAAAGGAACAGAAGUUUGAGUGUAGCAGUGACGGUGACGACACACACACAAGAAGAAACACACAGGCUGAGCUAUUUUUGUUACUUUAUUUUUAUACUAAGAAGUUAUUGAUUAUUAAUUUUUUCACUUGACUUUUUGACUCAAAACUUACCUUGUGGCGAGUUUUGAUGUCAGCGUCCCAAGUUCACAUAUAAUACUUAGAGUUUUGAUUCAUAAUUUUUUAUUGCAAUUGACUCAAACCUUACCUUGCGGCGAGGUUUGAUGUCUGCGUCCUCUCUUAUAUACAUGUCUAUCAUUUACUUCUGAAAAAAAAUUUAGUGUCUAAAUCGACUCAAAGCUUACCUGACGGCGAGUUUUGAUGUCAGCGUCCUUUUAUACGCUUGCCUAUUAUUUACUUCUGAAAAAUAAUUUACUAUCCAAAUUGACUCAAACCUUACCUUGCGGCGAGGUGUGAUGUCAGCGUUCUCUUAUAUACAUGUCUAUAAUUUACUUCUGAAAAAUAAUUUAGUGCCCAAAUCGACUCAAAGCUUUCCUUGCGGCGAGUUUUGAUGUCAGCGUCCUUUUAUACGCUUGCCUAUUAUUUACUUCUGAAAAAUAAUUUACUAUCCAAAUUGACUCAAACCUUACCUUGCGGCGAGGUGUGAUGUCAGCGUUCUCUUAUAUACAUGUCUAUUAUUUACUUAUGAAAAAUAAUUUAGUGCCCAAAUCGACUCAAAGCUUUUCUUGCGGCGAGUUUUGAUGUCAGCGUCCUUUUAUACGCUUGCCUAUUAUUUACUUCUGAAAAAUAAUUUACUAUCCAAAUUGACUCAAACCUUACCUUGCGGCGAGGUGUGAUGUCAGCGUUCUCUUAUAUACAUGUCUAUUAUUUACUUCUGAAAAAUAAUUUAGUGCCCAAAUCGACUCAAAGCUUUCCUUGCGGCGAGUUUUGAUGUCAGCGUCCUUUUAUACGCUUGCCUAUUACUUCUGAAAAAUACUUCUGAAAAAUAAUUUACUAUCCAAAUUGACUCAAACCUUACCUUGCGGCGAGGUGUGAUGUCAGCGUUCUCUUAUAUACAUGUCUAUUAUUUACUUAUGAAAAAUAAUUUAGUGCCCAAAUCGACUCAAAGCUUUUCUUGCGGCGAGUUUUGAUGUCAGCGUCCUUUUAUACGCUUGCCUAUUAUUUACUUCUGAAAAAUAAUUUGCUAUUUAAAUUGACUCAAACCUUACCUUGCGGCGAGGUUUGAUGUCAGCGUCCUCUUAAAUACAUGUCUAUUAUUAACUUCUGAAAAAUAAUUUAGUGCCCAAAUCGACUCAAAGCUUACCUUGCGGCGAGUUUUGAUGUCAGCGUCCUCUUAAAUACAUGUCUAUUAUUUACUUCUGAAAAAUAAUUUACUAUCCAAAUUGACUCAAACCUUACCUUGCGGUGAGGUUUGAUGUCAGCGUCCUUUUAUAUGCAUGCCUAUUAAAUACAUUUGAAAUAUAAAUUAUGAUCCAAAAUUGAAAAACUAUGAAAGAAUAUCAGAUCUAACAAAUUUUUUGCAGGAUUGUUUCAAAUAUUAACGAAUAACGGUUGAUAAUUCAUCUUCUGAAGAUAAAUCAGUGCAAUUUUGCAGCUUACAAAACCAGCUCUGGGGUCUCUAAUAAGAUUUGUUUAAGUUUUUGGAUUUUAUGAAAUGUUAAUGUUGGUCCAACGGCGCUGCACCUGUCAAGGGAGCUUGUGCUGAAAAUUCCUAGUUAAUUUUAAUCGAGAUAUUUUUGGGAUUUUAUUGAAAGGUAAAAAUGUAAUGAAUUUGAUAAAAUGUAAAUUUGGGUUCAACGGCGCUGCACCUGUCAAGGGAGCUUGUGCUGAAAAAUCCUAGUUAAUUUUAAUCGAGAAAUUUUUGGAAUUUUAUUGAAUGGUAAAAAUGUUAUGAAUUUGAUAAAAUGUAAAUGUGGGUUUAACGGCGCUGCACCUGUCAAGGGAGCUUGUGCUGAAAAAUCCUAGUUAAUUUUAAUCGAGAAAUUUUUGGAAUUUUAUUGAAUGGUAAAAAUGUUAUGAAUUUGAUAAUAUGUAAAUGUGGGUUUAACGGCGCUGCACCUAUCAAGGGAGCUUGUGCUGAAAAAUCCCAGCUUUUUUGAAUCGAGAAAUGUUCUGGAUUUUAUAAAAUGUAAAUGUGGGUUCAACGGCGCUGCACCUGUCAAGGGAGCUUGUGCUGAAAAAUCCUAGUUAAUUUUAAUCGAGAAAUUUUUGGAAUUUUAUUGAAUGGUAAAAAUGAUAUAAAUUUGAUAAAAUGUAAAUGUGGGUUUAACAGCGCUGCACCUGUCAAGGGAGCUUGUGCUGAAAAAUCCUAGCUUUUUUGAAUCGAGAAAUGUUCUGGAUUUUAUAAAAUGUAAAUGUGGGUUCAACGGCGCUGCACCUGUCAAAGGAGCUUGUGCUGAAAAAUCCUAGUUAUUUUGAAAUGAAAAAUAUUUGGGAUUUUAUUGAAAGGUAAAAAUGUUAUGAAUUUGAUAAAUCAGUGCAAUUUUUCAGCUCACAAAACCAGCUCUGGGGUCUCGAAGGAAAAUAAGAUUUGUUUAAGUUUUUUCUUUUGGGCAGAGCAUUGAUGAUGGGAAAGAGUGAGUCCUGCAAAGGAGCCAACUGUUCACCCCAGAGCCGAAAAGAAGAUCACCUUGAAUAGGUGUGAUCGAAACCCUGGACAUGAUCGCCCAGAUCAGCAGAUCAGGUUCAAGCAGGGAGCACCGCAAAGAAGGAAGAAAAGGAACAGAAGUUUGAGUGUAGCAGUGACGGUGAACGACACACGAAAAGAAACACACAGGCUGAGCUAUUUUUGUUACUUAAUUUUUAUACUAAGAAGUUAAUUUAAUUGAUUAUUAAUUUUUUCACUUGACUUUUUGACUCAAAACUUACCUUGCGGCGAGUAUUGAUGUAGCGUCCUUUUAUACGCUUGCCUAUUAUUUACUUCUGAAAAAUAAUUCACUAUCUAAAUUGACUCAAACCUUACCUUGCGGUGAGGUUUGAUGUCAGCGUCCUUUUAUAUGCAUGCCUAUUAAAUACAUUUGAAAUAUAAAUUAUGAUCCAAAAUUGAAAAACUAUGAUAGGAUAUCAGAUAUAACAAAAUUUUUGCAGGAUUGUUUCAAAUAUUAACAAAUAAUGGUUGAUAAUUUGUCUUCUGAAGAUAAAAUAGUGCAAUUUUGCAGCUUACAAAACCAGCUCUGGGGUCUCCAAGGAAAAUAAGAUUUGUUUAAGUUUUUUCUUUUGAGCAGAGCAUUGAUGAUGAGGAAGAGUAGCGUCCUGCAUAGGAGCCAACUCUUCACCCCUGAGCGGAUAAGAAGAUUUUAGCCUUUUUCAUCUCUGGAAGGAAGCUGACAUUCCCGUUUGCUUCUUCUACUUGGCCAUAAUGAAAUUCUUUCACCUCUGGAACAGUCAAAUGAUAACCCUGCUAGGUUCUGCUUGGACAAGUAUCACUCGGGGAGGUACUGCAACACUAUGACCGACAAUGCUAAAGUGAAUCCCGAGCUUCACUUACUUAAACUCAGCGAGAUCUUUGCUCAGCUCCGCAAGAGAGACAUGGAGGUGUCCAAAGGUCACAUUCCUCCUUACUCGGUGCCCAUCGAGUGUGGCAGUUUGGUCCGAGAGACAGUCCAGCAGUUUAUGGAUGGCGACGUUGAUGCCUUCCUGCACACCAUCAGGUGCCUCCUGUUCCCCUCGGCAGAGGAAGAGGAAAAUGCGCCGAAAAGAAAGAAGAUCUGCGCUGUGUGCGGUCUCUGGGAGGGCUACAUGGGCGCCAAGCUGAAACUUUGCCGAAUGUGCAGGGAUGACAUUGACAACACCAGUGUGCCAAAGUUGUGGUACUGCGGCAAACUGUGUAAGAAGAAGGCCUUCAAAGACGGCACACAUAAUGCACUGCAUGAUGAAUACUUGAUCAGUCAACUGCAGAUUUAAGGAUUUAAUCAAAUACACACAACAUUUGUCAUUUUUAUAAAUACACACUAUUUUUGAUAUCUAUAGAUUAUACGAUAUUAAUAAAAAACCCUUAAAGAUGGGUCAAUGAAAGUGUGAAAGGAAAAACUGAAAGCGUAAUUUUUUCACUUGUACCCUUUUAUUCAAUUCAUUGAUUGCAUUGAAAACAACAUACCAGCACGAGAUACAAUAAUGAAUCCUGGUUACAUUCUGACAGUUACAAGUAGAACAUACAGAGCUGUGUGACACUAUGAUGUAGUUGUCUGGUUUGUAUAGGACGAUAAAUACAGAGUUUGUUAAAAAUCCCCUGCGAUUCAAAAGAACGUCUACAUCACCUUCAUAAUUGUUUUGUGAGAAAACGGAGCAACAAAAUUAUGUUAUACUCUCUUAAAACUUAGGUAGUUUGUUCCUCUGUUUAGCUAAAUUGACAUCAUGAAUGACAAUUUUCAGCCAUUGAUCACUGCAUAUAUUUUUGGGGAUGGGUAAUGAAUAUUAAAUUAUGAACGAAUGAUUGACACUCGAACACGAAAACAAUUCAAAACAGGCCGGAUGUUUGAAAUUUAACCAGCGUUAUGAGACAGAAAGGUGUGCUUUGAGCAACUUAAUUGUGUAUGGUAAAAAUCCUCAAAAUCGCAAAAAAAAAGUACGAACGCGUCAAAAACUAAAAAAACAAAUGCUUAUCAUGGAAAGUAUGAAAUUGGCGGUUACUUAAUUUCAAAUAUUAAAAUAACAACAUAAGCGCAAAAAUAGAGGUGCCUAGACAAAGACAAGUACGAAAAACAACACGCACUCUUUUAAACGAAAUGAAUUCAAAAUUUAAAUUAAAACAGUCGGUGUUUGAUUAUGGAAAUUUAGUUCAUAUUUUUUCGAUCAUACUGGAUAAUUCAAUUUAGGCCGCGCUCAUCGUUUUUAUAAUCCUUGCAUCACUUCUUUAACAUUUGGCUAUUCUGCACAAUAUAGACACGAAGAUUUCGUUCUCAAAACAAAGCAUUAUAGCUGCUGCUGAGUGUUGAAUAGACAUUUAAUAGACACGUUGAAAAUUGCCUGAUUAGCUGUUUGUUAGAUUUUUAAUUGACAAUCAGUUUCCUUCUUCAACAAUUGUAUUGGAGCUCUCGGAGACAGACACAUUUUACUUUCAGCAUCGAGAGUUGAAAAUUGAUUUCUGUCCCAGUCUCAAGGAAUGGAUAAUUAAUUUGUGUUUCAGUCAUUUUAGCACCGACUAAACCCUAAACGGCCACAAUCAUGAAUGUGUAUGCAACACGGCUGUAUAUAUCUCUAUUCAUUUAAUGUAUGUAAUUAUGCAUUUAAUGUAUGUAUCAUAUAUGUAUAUAGGCUUAUUAAAAAUAUAUCGGGGCGAAACGCUCUCGAGCCCUUGUAAAUCGUGUUAAGUAAUCUGUGUUGAUAUUCAUCAUCAGUUCUUAAAUUAAAGCAAUAUAAGAGUAGAUUUUAGUUGAAUCGAUUAUGAAUGUGUGAUAACGAGUUUUGACUCUGCUUUUUAUAAAGUUUUUUUAAGUCUCAACCCAGCCACCGACCUUAAAGUUUUGCUUUAAAUGGGAGCUCGGCCGAUUGGACAGACCAUGGCAAGCUGUAAAUUCUGCACAAAAGAGUUGCAUGAAUGUCACAUUGUGGCAUCAUUUUGUCCUGAAUUUUCUAGCCCCGCGUAUACCGGCACAACCUCCCUCAAUGCAUUGUGUAAUAAUAAUUUAACAUGGAUAUAUAUCAUUGGUUAUAACAAUGUGAUUUAAAAUCAACGACGUAUUUCUCUUGAUUUUGUCUCUCAUUAUAUAAAUAUGUACAUUUUCUCUAUCCGUUCAUUUGUGUCUUGGUAAUAAGGCAAUAAUAAUUAGGAAUCAUCACUUUCCCCUCAUCUCCGUACACUACGACACUGCUCUCCGUUUGUCACUUCUAAAUUUGUCUAAUCUGCUCCGCCUCUCAUAUCUUUCUCCACAUACAAAACAAGCAAGACUAGACAUAACUUGUAUGGAAAAACAAAACAAACUCACGUGAAUUGAAAAAUGUCAAAAAAAGUACGAACAGUGUCGUCUUGAAUGAAUUUGAUAUCUCAUGAUAUUUUAAAAUAAGCAAAACUGAUGCAGUUUUGGCAAUCCUUGUGUGUUACCGUUCUUGAUGCGUAACAGGUUUAAAAUCAGAAAAACAUAAUAAUUAAGUGAGCUAGCCUUACAAUUUAAAACCUAUCAUACACAUUUUAUGAUUCUUAAAUAAUGAAUGGAAUAAUGGAUGUCCCGUGCUCACACACAGGCUGUACAUUUCAUAUAAAAUUAACAAAUCAAACCGUGCUUAAAACGAAUUACAAAAAAAUCUUGACGCUAUAACACAAAUUAUAUAUUGAUUGCACUUGAUUAUUUGCGAGUUUGCCCAUUGCUCGAACAAGUCCAUGCCACUUUAGUGUAUUAGUUGAUGUCUUUCUUGAGUAGUGGAUCUUUGAUAAAUUCCGUGGAAUGUUUUAGAGUGGUGAACUGGGAUAGCUUUUGCCUGCGAAAGAGCUUAAAUUCAGCCACUGAAUUUAAAACCUCGCGGACAAAGUUUUACCAGUUCAGGUUGGCUCCAAAGUUGCCCUUUUGUUUGUUCCCAUAUUAUGAUUUAUACAGGACGGAAGACUAGUUAUGAGAUGUUUGAUGAAUUAUUUACAGUGAUGGCCAAACCUGAAACAAUCGAAUUUUAUUGUAAUUGACUGAGGAAUAUUUUGUUUCGAGACAAACUCACCCUGAAGACUAUACAGUGGAUGGAAUGGUUAGUUGAAAUGUGCAGGUGAGGUCACAACUUAUUUUAAUGAAUUCCUCGUGAAGUGGUGAGACGUGGACUACAAAAAGCGCACACAAUUAGCAAAAGCCACGCAAAAAAAAGAAUUGCAGAAAAAAAAAUUUGUCUUCUUAGCUUACCGAUGCAGAUGCUCUGCUGCGAGGUGCUGAUGCGUUGUUUUGGUUGACGAGCUGCUGCAGUUUGUGCAGUUGCGAGAGCAGAUUUGAGUUGGAGCCCUCCAAAGACUCAAUUUUCUUCUUGUACUCGCAGUUCUCAUUAAGCAGGUUCUCGACUCGCUUCUCAAGCGCAUCCAUGUACUCCUUCUUCUUGCGUCGACUCUCCUGGGCUGAGAUCUGGAAAUUGCAUAAGGUUGGAAUUAAUAAGAAGAGCAAUAAUUAAAACUUGAUUUGUUUUAAUAAAAUUUUUAUGUUUACAGAAAAAAAUUUACCUUGUUCUUGAUUUUUCUCCUGAUCUUUUUCAGUGACUUUUCCUCCGCCUUGGUCAGGGGCAGUCGGGUUGGAAUGGGGUAGCCUUCGGCCAGGAGGGUCCUCUUCUCCUCUUCAGUUAAUGACAACAUACCAG